UAUUCCCCACUGCUGCCUCCCGUAGGAGUCUGGGCCGUGUCUCAGUCCCAAUGUGGCCGUCCAACCUCUCAGUCCGGCUACUGAUCGUUGCCUUGGUGAGCCGUUACCUCACCAACCAGCUAAUCAGACGCGAGCUCAUCCUUAAGCGAUAAAAUCUUUUAUAGCUGUACCAUGCGGUACUACUAUCUUAUGCGGUAUUAUCAGUCAUUUCUAACUGCUAUCCCCCUCUUAAGGGCAGAUUGCUCACGUGUUACUCACCCGUCCGCCACUAAGUUAUUCAAAGCAAACUCCAAAUAACUCCGUUCGACUUGCAUGUGUUAAGCGUGCCGCCAGCGUUCAUCCUGAGCCAAA
rnacentral:rRNA from 1 species